rnacentral:tRNA from 1 species
CAUUAGGUAACUAAAGCAAGUAGUGGUCUCUUAAAUCAUAUUAAAGUAAAUUAGCGCUUACUUCUAAUGA